rnacentral:rRNA from 1 species
UACAGGCUUAACACAUGCAAGUCGAGGGGCAGCAUGAUCAAAGCUUGCUUUGAUUGAUGGCGACCGGCGCACGGGUGAGUAACGCGUAUCCAACCUUCCCCCUAGUAGGGCAUAGCCCGGCGAAAGUCGGAUUAAUACCCUAUGUUUUCCAAUGAGGACAUCUGAGCUGGAACAAAGAUUCAUCGCUAGGGGAUGGGGAUGCGUCCGAUUAGCUUGCUGGCGGGGUAACGGCCCACCGGGGCGACGAUCGGUAGGGGUUCUGAGAGGAAGGUCCCCCACACUGGUACUGAGACACGGACCAGACUCCUACGGGAGGCAGCAGUGAGGAAUAUUGGUCAAUGGGCGCGAGCCUGAACCAGCCAAGUAGCGUGCAAGGACGACGGCCCUAUGGGUUGUAAACUGCUUUUAUGCGGGGAUAAAGUUCACCACGUGUGGUGUUUUGCAGGUACCGCAUGAAUAAGGACCGGCUAACUCCGUGCCAGCAGCAGC